UCGAGAGGACUUCACUGAUGACAGAGAUGUGGAAAAGACUACGUCCUUCUCUGGAAAACUACAAGGAUAAAAUACCCACCUUCUUCGGGAAAAAGUCCAUCAUAUGCGAAAGGAAACUUACUCACGUGCGAAAGACGAACUCUAAGAAUUGGAGAAUAACGGCAGUAGACAGCAGCUAACUUCCCCUGUACUCAACGACAUUGAACAAUAGACAUGAAAUGACUCGCUGACCCCCUACAAAGUACUUGUGCUCGGAGGCAGAAUUUGGCAUCGUUUGGGUCGAGAGAUUUCCAAGGGUAAUGAUACAGUUAAACUGUAUAAAAAUACCUCUCUAAAACAACCUUCUCCUGGUCGGCCAUGUCCCUCAUCCUGCACUUGACCCCUGCAGAGGUCACAAGAACAUCGGAGCACAAAUGAGCGAGAAACGGGGAAGCCUUAGCUUCCGGGUCAAGGACUGCAUCACUAGCACCUACCUAUUGAACCUAUUGAUAGGUUUAAAAGUAGGCAUCUUCACGCAAUCUGCGGACCACCUCCUAGCAGCGAAAUACGGAUAUACCCUCCCUAUUACAUGCGUUCAACCGGCACCCGAACCACACGCUGUUUCUUAGACACAACUUCCCACUUAAAUCAGUGUCCUGUCGCAUCAACUGGCAUCGGCAAGUGGCGACACUGUGUAGACUCAACCCUGAGCUUGAUCAGAAUCUUCAGUCACAAACCUGACACCGUUUCGGGGCUUGCAAUACGGUUUUCUGUCAGGCUCCCAGCAGUUUCUUUUGACCACCAUCUCAUCUGACAAUCACCCGAGGAUACCUGCCAGAGCUCGCAAUUUACGACGAGUUAGCUUAUGGCACCUCUGGCUGUUAAGUGAAGUCAUAAAGCUCAAACAGCUCUCAUCUCCCAUUCUCUCUUCCUAGACAGCAGACCUGGGAGAAACUCCUUCUAGCCGGACGUCACGCGUGAUGUACGAGAAACUACGGACAGGGUACUCCUACUUGCGUGCGAAAGACAAAGGCAGCAAGAAUCGAAGAACAGAACCCCGACCACACUGCUUGUGAGAAAUGAGCAGCUCUUGAUCUAGGACAAAAAACUUUCUUCUGUUUAAUAUCUAAAACGUGUUACGUGUGAUAUUACACCAACUUUUGAUUAAUAAUACGAAACUUUAUACCUUAUAAAGUAUGAUAUUUAAACACGAAAAUUUACAUUCUGAAAUUGGUAUAGUGUUCCUUUAACUGUUCCUUCAACUUUCAUCGUAGCUUUUUUCAAAAUAUUCUUCAGUGCCAUCAACAAACAGAUUUUUUCAUUUGACUGAACUGUGCCAUAUUUGAUAUUGCCUCUGUAUUUUAUAGGGAAAAUUUUUUAAAUCUUGCAAGUCGAUGUAAUUAAGUUUUAAGUUAACGUAUUAUAGAUAUGUUAACACUAGUUUAUGUUUCAGUAUUUAAAUUGUUUCCAUUUAUAGUUUAACCGCUCCCUGUUGUAGAGUUAUCAGAUCUUUACUUAGGAUAAACAAUAUAAUAUGAAGUUCGAUAAUAAUAUUAAUAAACAUUAAUUGUAUUCACUGUUUUCUAGUCAUCAAACUUCAGAUCAGGAGGUGACCGGGACAUGAUUUUAGGCUUGACCGGGACCGGGACCGGGAUAAAAAAUGUGACUUGACCGGGACCGGGACUGAGAUUAUCAAUUUACCGUGACCGGGACCGGGACCAAUAAUUUCUGGGAUUUCUAUCUUACCGGGACCGGGACCAGGACCGGGACCAACAAUACAAUUUUUUCGGGAUGACCGGGAUUUUACCGGGAUGACCGGGACCAAAACUGGUAUUCUCAUAUUGAAAGCUGCAACUUUCAUUUACAUUAUAAUUGAACAAUUUGAAUAAGUAAUAACUAGAAUAUUAAAUUAGAAAAAAAUAGAAAAAACCCGUCAAUAUGGGGCAUGGGCCUAAUGUACUACACCAAUAAUGUUCAUGUACUGAUUACUCAAGUUCACCCUCAUUCCUCAGUCAAUGAUCCCUCAUUAUUCAACAGUUUCAUUCUCCAAUUGACAAUUGGGCGUAG